UCUCUCUCUCUCUCCCCUAAUAUGUGACAUGGUUCUCCCUCUUUAAUGUGGAGUGUAUCCCAACCUCUCUCUAUUUCUUUCUCCCUUCCUCCCAAUGCUAUCCCUAAUAUGUGAUAUAGGUCCUUCUCCCUCUUUUUGGUGGAGUGGAUCCCUCUGUCUUUCUCUAUCUCUCUCUCUCCUACUUUUUGUCCCCAAUAUGUGAUAUGGGUUCUUCUACUCUCUCUCUGUCUUUUUUUAUGGGGUGAAUCACAAACUCUGUCUCGUGGGAUGAGUGAGAAAAUUGAAAUUUGGGUGUCCGGAAGUGAUAAUCAAUAGCAAGCAACAGCCAUGGACGAGUCUUAAGAAGAGUACUAUAGGUAGAAGCAUACCUGCCACAUGGACUUCUCCUUUCAUCCGUAUUUUCAGUGAUGGGUAGAAGCUGAAAGAUCUUAUUACCUAGGAAGAAGACUCUGGUGCAAGUACAAAUUCAUAACUCAUCUCACUCCAUAUUCAGUUUCAUAUCUCAUCCAAGUUUCUCUCAUCUUGUUAGAGGCCUUCCAAGGCUACAACCCCACUCUUGCUGCUGGUUUGAAAGGUGCGUGAUCGAAUCCAUGUACACCAUGUGGUCCCCACCAUGCAUGUGCAGUAUUGAUGAAUGGCUAAGAUGUGUACAUGGUGGUGGGCCCCACUUGAUGAAUGGCAUUUUAUAAGCACCCAAUUGAAAAUUUUUAAAAGUGCGCGAGCAUGUAUUGAUUAUACAAGUGUGGUUCACCUCAUGACGACCUGAGUGACCUCAUGUGGGAGAGGCAGGCCAAAGGGGCGUAAAUGGUGGGCCCCACCUGAUGAACGGCGCACACGUGUGGCAUUUCAUAAGCACUGAAUUGAAAUUUUUUUUAAAGUGCAUGAGCAUUGAUUAUACAAGUAUGGUUCACCUGAUGAUGACCUGACUGACCUCAUGUGGGUGAGGCAGGCCAAAGACGUACGCGGUGGGCCCUACCUUAUGAACGGCACACGUGUGGUAUUUUAUAAGCACCCAAUUGAAAAUUUUGAAAGUGCAUGAGAUCAUUUUGAUUUCUUUAUCUACCAUACUUGUAGCUUUUCAUCUCCUCGUCCAUUUCAAUAACACAUUAUUAUAUUCACAGUAGGAGAGCUUGGAACUUGAUUUUAUUUAUGUUGUUGACGCUUUGGUUGGUUAUUUAUAGAAUUUCUUGGAAUCCUUC